GAUGAACGCUAGCUACAGGCUUAACACAUGCAAGUCGAGGGGAAACGACAUCGAAAGCUUGCUUUUGAUGGGCGUCGACCGGCGCACAGGUGAGUAACGCGUAUCCAACCUGCCCAUCACUUGGGAAUAACCUUGCGAAAGUAAGACUAAUACCCAAUGAUAUCCCACGAAGGCAUCGGAAUGGGAUUAAAGAUUUAUCGGUGAUGGAUGGGGAUGCGUCUGAUUAGCUUGUUGGCGGGGUAACGGCCCACCAAGGCAACGAUCAGUAGGGGUUCUGAGAGGAAGGUCCCCCACAUUGGAACUGUGACACGGUCCAAACUCCUACGGGAGGCAGCAGUGAGGAAUAUUGGUCAAUGGGCGAGAGCCUGAACCAGCCAAGUAGCGUGCAGGAAGACGGCCCUAUGGGUUGUAAACUGCUUUUAUAAGGGAAUAAAGUGGGUCACGUGUGACUUUUUGCAUGUACCUUAUGAAUAAGGACCGGCUAAUUCCGUG
rnacentral:rRNA from 1 species